rnacentral:rRNA from 1 species
GCCUACGGGGGGCAGCAGUAGGGAAUCUUCCACAAUGGGCGAAAGCCUGAUGGAGCAACGCCGCGUGGGUGAAGAAGGUCUUCGGAUCGUAAAACCCUGUUGUUAGAGAAGAAAGUGCGUGAGAGUAACUGUUCACGUUUCGACGGUAUCUAACCAGAAAGCCACGGCUAACUACGUGCCAGCAGCCGCGGUAACACGUAGGUGGCAAGCGUUAUCCGGAUUUAUUGGGCGUAAAGGGAACGCAGGCGGUCUUUUAAGUCUGAUGUGAAAGCCUUCGGCUUAACCGGAGUAGUGCAUUGGAAACU